ACAAUGUUGCAAAAUAACACGAAGAGGAAAAAGAAUUUACCAGUCAUACUGUUCGCCGGCGAAGCUACGCAUGACGAGUUUUACUCGACAACUCACGGAGCUUACGAGACGGGAAUCCAUCAAGCUGAAGUAUUUUUACAACAUCAUGCGAACAUCAAGUAAAUAUAUAAAUAGGUCGAUAUGUAAAUAUGUAAAUACUAGCACAAUUAAUUUUUUUUAAUUUGCAG